rnacentral:rRNA from 1 species
UACGUAGGGUGCGAGCGUUAAUCGGAAUUACUGGGCGUAAGGCGUGCGCAGGCGGUUUUGUAAGCCAGAUGUGAAAUCCCCGGGCUUAACCUGGGAAUGGCAUUUGGGACUGCAAGGCUUGAGUUUGGCAGAGGAGACUGGAAUUCCUGGUGUAGCAGUGAAAUGCGUAGAUAUCAGGAGGAAUACCGAUGGCGAAGGCAGGUCUCUGGGCUAGAACUGACGCUCAUGCACGAAAGCGUGGGGGAGCAAACAGG